CCUACGGGAGGCAGCAGUGGGGAAUAUUGCACAAUGGGCGCAAGCCUGAUGCAGCGACGCCGCGUGAGGGAUGACGGCCUUCGGGUUGUAAACCUCUGUUAGCAUCGAAGAAGCGAAAGUGACGGUAGGUGCAGAGAAAGCGCCGGCUAACUACGUGCCAGCAGCCGCGGUAAUACGUAGGGCGCGAGCGUUGUCCGGAAUUAUUGGGCGUAAAGAGCUUGUAGGCGGUUGGUCGCGUCUGCUGUGAAAGGCUGGGGCUUAACCCUGGUUUUGCAGUGGGUACGGGCUAACUAGAGUGCAGUAGGGGAGACUGGAAUUCCUGGUGUAGCGGUGGAAUGCGCAGAUAUCAGGAGGAACACCGAUGGCGAAGGCAGGUCUCUGGGCUGUAACUGACGCUGAGAAGCGAAAGCAUGGGGAGCGAACAGGAUUAGAUACCCCGGUAGUC
rnacentral:rRNA from 1 species